CAUGUAGGUGGAUACUUAAGUCUGUCGUGAAAAUGCGGGGCUCAACCCCGUAUUGCGAUGGAAACUGGGUGUCUUGAGUGCAGGAGAGGAAAGGGGAAUUCCCAGUGUAGCGGUGAAAUGCGUAGAUAUUGGGAGGAACACCAGUGGCGAAGGCGCCUUUCUGGACUGUGUCUGACACUGAGAUGCGAAAGCUAGGGGAGCGAACG
rnacentral:rRNA from 1 species